AAUUUUAAAAUUUUAAUUGAAUGGUUUUGCACCUUUUAUUGGUGUAUAAACAUGUAAGAAGUGUUAUCUCUCAGCAGGUAGCCUGCUAUUCUUCUUAUGUGGAUUUAAAAAAUGUUAUAAACAUUCGUUGUUCUUUGAAAACUCAUAUUAUCAUUAUUCAUUACAAUUAAAUUGUGGAAAAAUAAUUUGAUAGAUGGACAUGCCAAAAGCAGCAAGUAUUUCAUUUCGAAUUUAGAUUGUUGUAUAUAAAAACUAUUUUUGAUAAUAUAUUAUUCAUUGUUUAUAUUUACUACUCUUAUAUUCUACUACAUGUCUACAUAGUUGGUGCAGUAAAAUAUAAAAACAAUACAUAAUAUAUUUGUGCCACAGUCAAAUGUUCAUCAGGGCUACAUUAGUUCACACAGAGAAUACUAACAACGCUGAUUUGCCCGUGAACUAAGAUACACUAAAACCACAAAUACCAAGAUGACUAGAUAGUACUAUAGGUAUUUUAUAUCUUAUCAUUGGUUAUAUGUACCAGUUUAUAGUGAGCUGUAAUAAGAAAACCAAAGAAGGUGCAGAUUGCAGAUAAAAUUAAGCCUUUAGAGUUUUGUGCAACGUUGCAUGAAAUCAGUUAAUAAUACACUUAUCAUAAUAAAGUUAUCUAAAUUUAUUUCUGAUAGUUAAAUGUGAGUGAAUUCUUACUUUACUAGACAAGAUCUUUCAUAUUGUUAUACAUAAUUAAUAUUUAAUAUAAUGCAUAUUUAUUAUGGAUUUAUCUUUGUGCUUUUACUGUUAUAGUGUAUAAUAUAUACAGACGUCACUUAUCUAUAUACACAGAGCAACAAUGUUACUUUUAUAAAAUUAAAUUAUAA